rnacentral:rRNA from 1 species
UACGGGGGGGAGCAAGCGUUGUUCGGAUUUACUGGCGUAAAGGGCGCGUAGGCGGCCAGCACAAGUCAGUUGUGAAAUCUCCGGGCUUAACUCGGAAAGGUCAACUGAUACUGUGCGGCUAGAGUGCAGAAGGGGGCAACUGGAAUUCUCGGUGUAGCGGUGAAAUGCGUAGAUAUCGAGAGGAACACCUGCGGCGAAGGCGGGUUGCUGGGCUGACACUGACGCUGAUGCGCGAAAGCCAGGGGAGCGAACGGG